UAAAGAGGUUGCAACAAUUGCAAAAACACCCCUCCACGAAAACAGCCCACUCUGCACUGUGUACCGGUACACGGGUUUGUGUACCGGUACACCACCCACGAAAAGCCAAACCCGAGCCUCGGGUUUGCUGGGAAAAUGGUCUGUGUACCGGUACACAACCACGUACCGGUACAGCCAUCAACCCCGUACCGGUACAGCAAGCGAACCCGUACCGGUACGCGGCCUGCUGAAGGCUACCCGAGAGCUGACCAAAAAUC
rnacentral:lncRNA from 1 species